AGAGGUGCAGGAGUCCAGGAACAGGAGCUAAACAGGAGAUGAACAGAAGCUGAAGUCCUGCAUAGAGCUGCAGUGAAACCUCGGGGUCUGCUGCAGGAGUGAGUGUGUCACAAGGGCUGAGCUGCUCACAGAGCAGACUGAAACCUCAACUGUACUAUCAUCCACUCUUCCUCCUCUCGCAGUCAUGUGAACUUCCACCCCCAGUCUGAAUUGCAGAUACUUUUGAUUAUUCAGCUCAGGUGUCCUUGCAGAGUAAUGAGGUCUUUCUGCCCUGUUAUUUCCAGCUGCCAUCACUCUCGGCAACCCAAACAAACCCAACUGAUUGCACUUAUUUAUAGACCUGAAUGCUGAUGCUGCUCUCCCCUGGGGUUGGCUCUCAUCUCUCCGGAUGGAGCAGAUUUCAGGUCAGCUCAUUUCCUAGCCUUCUUUCACUUCCUCUUGGCCCUGGUGCUGCUGCCAGUCCUUUUCCUGCAGGAUAUUCCACUGCUUCCUCUUGAAGGAGGAGCGGCCCCUUCAAAACUGAGCUGUGUUCCCUGAGCUGUGCCCUGCUGCCAAGCCAGCCCCACACCGCUGCCUCUGCCUGAUCCAGGCUGUCAGACGAAGGUUCUCCCGACCUCCAGAAAGCAUCGCAGAGCAGCGGGGGAAGGGGCUGGAGCUGACAGGUCCAAAGAGGGAAAGUUAGACUUAUGGGACAAGAUGGAGGAGCAGGGCCAGGAAGGGGAUGUCCAGCCUGGGCUGCUCUCAGCCUUUUUACAAAAGCGGGAACAAACCGAGCGUGUGUGGAGCUGUAUGGCCAAGGCUGCAGACCUGCCUGGUAGCCAUGUAAAAUCCCCCGAGAGACGCCCAGGACAGCACCGCAGCGAGGAUGGUGACAGCCUGCUGAGAGCUGCAGUGCAGCACUGCGUGUAUUUGACAAGCUGAGUUUGACACUCAGUCUGGCAGAGUGUCAGUUUGUCAAAUACCCCAAGUGAGGCACUUGCUGAGCAACACGGCCGUGCACUGAGGCGAUGGACUCCUUCACGCCCAUAUUCUGCUCCUCUCUAAAAACCCAACAAGGGACUUCCACAUCAGUGUCCAAUCUAAUCACAUCUGCAGUGCUGUGGCUGAAACAAAGAGACAUUCUUACGAAUGAGGACUAAAUCCCCCUUAACAGCUGCUAUCUCACUCCACCUUCCUCUGCAUAAUGGAAAGAAUGUAAGAUGGACAAGUUCUCGAAUUAAGUUAGAGGCACUUUAAUGACAAAAGCAAAGGCCAUGUGUGGAAGCCAUCAGAAAGAAGCAGGGUGAUUUAUUCUUUGCUUCCCAUCGGCCGGCAAUACCCAGCCACUGCCUGGGAAUCCGAGCCUCAGUACACGUGAUGGUUGCUUCCAAAGGCAAUUGAUGUAACCAGAAACGCCUCCCCCAGCUCCUCCCACAUCCCUCAGCAUUAUUGUUGAGCUGGGUGUCAUACGGUGUGGAAAAUCUUUGUGGUCAGGAUAGGUCAGCUGUCCUGGCUGCGUCCUACCCAAGCUGUUGCCAACCCCGACCUGCUGGCCUCUGUGGGUUGGAAAGAGAGCCUUGGUGCUGCACAAGUGCUCAGCAAUAGCCAAAUCCCUGUGGGGUUACUGACACUGUUUUAGGCACAAAUGUAAAGCAGUGUUAGGGGUGUUAUGAGGAAUAUUAACUCUGUCCCAGAGUAAGGCCAGAAAUCUCUGGCCUUUUGCUGAGUAAAAAGGCUUUUCUGAAACAAAUAACAGUAUGAUGCCCUCAAAAAGUCUUCUCAACAUAAUAGGUGAAAAAUUGUACUUACAAAGCAACUUCAUAGAUGGAUUCUGAAAAAAAGGAAGAAUUGAAGAUAUGCAUCAGUACAUUUUAUGAUGAAUGUACCCCAGAAAUAAAAAUAAAAAGGGAAGAAAGCAAGCAAAACCAACAAAGAAACCACAGAUGCUUCCAGGUAUUUGCACCUUCAGGAAUCCACCUUGUUGCUCCCUGGGGGGACAGUGGGGCAAGGAGGGGGCCAAGGCAGAGUGAUGGGACUGUGGGGAUAGGAAUGGGGCUGGAGGGAGCACAGUGCCCUGCCCUACCUGCCCCCCCCUGUUAAAAAGAUGCUGUUCUGAAUGCCUUUAACAAAAAUAAUUUUUAGAAAGUGCAUGCUCUUGUGUGUUCAAGCAUUCAAUAAAUAUAUUCUGUGUUUGUUAAUAAAAAUGAAAUGCCUUUUUCAGUCUUUCA